GCAGGUUCGGGACUCACGCAGUGAGACAACGGAGCCGCUUGCGGCGACGGCCCGAAGGGCGAGCGAAGCGAGUCAUCCUGCACGACCCACCA
rnacentral:sRNA from 10 species